GACGAACGCUGGCGGCGUGCUUAACACAUGCAAGUCGAACGGAAAGGCCCUGCUUUUGUGGGGUGCUCGAGUGGCGAACGGGUGAGUAACACGUGAGUAACCUGCCCCUGCCUUUGGGAUAACUUCAGGAAACUGGGGCUAAUACCGGAUAGGAGCUCCUGCCGCAUGGUGGGGGUUGGAAAGUUUCGGCGGUUGGGGAUGGACUCGCGGCGUAUCAGCUUGUUGGUGGGGUAGUGGCUUACCAAGGCUUUGACGGGUAGCCGGCCUGCGAGGGUGACCGGCCACAUUGGGACUGGAAUGAGGCCCAGCCUCCAACGGGAGGCAGCGGUGGGGAAUAGUGCACAAUGGGCUGAAGCCUGAUCCGGCACCGCCGUGUGGGGGAAGACGGCAUUCGGGUAGUAAUCCGCUUUCGCCUGUCACGAGACGUGAAUGACGGUAAUGGGUAAAGAAGCACCGGCUAACUACGUG
rnacentral:rRNA from 1 species